rnacentral:misc_RNA from 1 species
GUUUAUGAUUGUCAAAAACCACACCUCUCAACCAUUAGACUUGAAAAUUGACUCUAGAAAAGUACAAAAUCUUACAGUAACUUUAGAUUCAUUUAUGAGAACAGAAUUGCAGAAGCCAAAUCUAAAUAUAAACAAUUACAAGAUCAACUAAAUGCAACCAUCAGCAGCAAGAUGCCCAGUCCAUGUCUGAUUUCCACCUAACAGCUACAAAUUUUUUACUGUUUAUCCUUUCAGGUCUAGAGCUGGCUACUCAAAUUAUGAAGUAUCAUCUGUUUUCCCAUAAAUUUAUCCCAAUGAUUGCAGAGAACAGCAGAUAAUUGCGUGGCUGACCAAGUCAAUCAACGAAGAAGCAAUUUGAUGUAAAUUCUUUAGCUCAGGUGACCUUAACAUUCAGUACAAGUAUACUGAAUAAUUUAAGCCCCAAAUACGUAGAUGAGGAAAGAAAAGGAGUUCGCAUUUUGUCUUAUCAACAACUCUGCAUCAUCAAGGCAGCACAACAAUUUAAAAUGACCAAUUGUCCAUGAUGAACUGAUGCUUACCUCCAUAAGGGAAGUUCUUUAUGCAAAAUUUUAUAUUUAUCCUUGUUUCUUCAGCAAAAUAAAUUGCACUGAAUUAGAUACCCUGUACAAUGUACACCUUAAUUCCCCAAGUCAAAAUUGGGAAGUAAUAG